rnacentral:rRNA from 1 species
GCCUAACACAUGCAAGUCGAACGCCCCGCAAGGGGAGUGGCAGACGGGUGAGUAACACGUGGGAACAUACCCUUUGGUUCGGAAUAACUCAGGGAAACUUGAGCUAAUACCGGAUAAGUCCGCGAGGAGAAAGAUUUAUCGCCGAAGGAUUGGCCCGCGUCUGAUUAGCUAGUUGGUGAGGUAACGGCUCACCAAGGCGAACGAAUCAGUAGCCUGGUCUGAGAGGAUGACCAGCCACACUGGGACUGAGACACGGCCCAGAACUCCUACGGGAGGCAGCAGUGGGGAAUAUUGGACAAUGGGCGCAAGCCUGAUCCAGCCAUGCCGCGUGAGUGAUGAAGGCCUUAGGGUUGUAAAGCUCUUUUACUCGGGAGGAUAAUGACGGUACCGAGAGAAUAAGCCCCGGCUAACUUCGUGCCAGCAGCCGCGGUAAU